AAAUUAAGUUCUCGUUGCUUACUUAUUCAGAUAGAAAUGGAGGUGCGCGCUGGAGUCGUUUUGGCUGCUCUCUCUCUGUCUUUGUUUUCGUACUGCUCCGCCACUAGCCUCAUAUCUCCUCAGAACGUACUUAAUGGGAUAGUAGGUGGAGAAAUCACAUUUAAUUUGCCAAUUGAUCCAGUUGAUCAAACAGCGAAUUCUGGAACCUGGGAAUUUGGUUCGACAGUUGUUGUUAUCUGGACGGGCUCAAAUAUGAUUUAUACAAAGGAUUAUAGAGGAAGAGUCGAGGUGUCACCUUCCACUGGCACUCUUAAGUUUAAUAAGCUGUUUGCUACUGACUCGGGAGAAUACACAGUGUUGAUUACAACAGCUCCGUCUAUGAUCGAUCUAAAUGGAAGAGUUGAGUUAAAAGUGUAUGAAGCUGUUUCUAAUGUCAGGAUAACAGCCAAACCUGGACAGCCAAUAGAAAACAAGGAUUUCUCUCUGACCUGUGAUGCAUCUGGACAGGUAGAUUCAAUACACUGGGUAAAGAACAAUCAGCCACUCUCUCCAUCUGGCCACAUCACCUUGUCUGCAGAGUAAAACACUGACUUUUAAUCCUGUACUGCAGUCAGAUAAUGGUAAUUAUACGUGUACAGCAUCCAACCCAGCCAGCAGGAUGAGCAGUGAAGUAUAUACAUGUCACAUAUACAUGACUGUCAGAUCUGCAGCAGGUCCUUAUGAGACCUCUUUAGAACUUUCAAAAGAUUUAGAACGGCACUAAAGAAAGGCAUCUUCACUGUCAAUGGUGCUUCAAUUAAGACAUCUGAAUUUUCCAGUUGAAAUGGAUAUCUGCUGAUUCAUCAACAUAACAUUGAUUAAAUUUGCUAAUAAAUAAAAAAAUAAUCACUGAAAAGGACUGGUAAAUGUCAUGGCCUGGUAAAUGAAAGGUGAUUGCAAUCUUUGCUGGAAAAAUAUCUCACCAAUACUAUUACCAGGAUCAUAGCUAAUCGUUUAUUAUUUGCUUAAAGUCAAGAUAGAUAGAUAAAGAGAGACCCUGACAUGCUCAACAAAUUCUCAUUAUAGUUUUACCAGUUUCUAAAAGUUUCAAAAAAUAAAAGGUGGUCUGAGGAAACAGAAGAUUACUUUUGAAGCAACACCCAGAAAGAACUGAAAUUACCAUAAUAAAAGAAUAAAUUCAUAUUUGAAAAGGUAAAAAUGAACAGAACUCAACUGUUAAAGAAGCUGGCAGGAGUCUAUUUAUUAUCUGUUAACUGACCUAUAUUGAGUUAAGUAUCUAUUAUUAAUAUACUAAGGCUGAUUGAAUUUACCAAAUAAAUAAAAUUAAUACAUGGAAAGAUAAAUACAAUUAAACAUCCGUUCAUUUUUGAAACAUACUUAAUCCAAGUUUAGGGUUUCAGGGCAGCUGGAAAGCAAAUUAAAAUAACAUGACAAGCAAACAUGACUAAAAAUGGAGUACAAAAUACACUUGAUUUUCUUUCUGAUCAUCGCAAGAUCAUAUAAUCUUCAAAAUUUAAAUAAUUUAAAUCAGGAAAUUGUUUUAUUCUAUAAGGACAGCACUUUGAGAUUAUGUGACAUAAAAGAUGUCGAGAUGUUAAUAUAACUCAAACAUUAAUUGACUGAAUACAGUAAGUGGUGAGACCCUGCAGCUGGGCAAAGGUAUUUAUGUAAGCCGAACUACAAAAAAAAUAUGUGCCAAAUUAUUGAUUUAAAGUAAUGUUGCUAACAGAAAAGAAUAAACUGCUUUUGAUAAUGCUUUAAAUGUUUUGAGCUAUUUUAUAUAAUACAAUGUUUGACAUGAUAAGUAAAAAAUAUAAUUUAUGAGGUACUCACUUGAUUUACUUAAAAGCUUGUCCUAAAUGUAAACCUUUCUUUAUUAUUAUUAUGUAAUUGAGAAACAUUAAUCUGAUGAGAAAAGUCAAUGUUAAAGCCACUGAUUUUGUUCAAUGAAUGCCUUUAGAAAUUAAAUUCCAAUUGGAUUAUAGUAGUUUUAUUACUGUUUGAUUUAUUUUACAUAGAUCUGCUUUUAAUAUUUAUUAUGAACAGCAUUUGCUAUGUCCUUCCAUCCAUCCAUUUUCUAGAUGUGUGUGGAGGCUGUGCCUAUCACUGCACUGUUGGGACACAAGGCAGGGACCAAUCCUAGAUGGGCACCUAUCCAUUGAAAGGCACACUUGUAUGCUCAGUCACACAUGGACAGUUUGAAGUAACUAAAAAAUUGUAUCUUAUGCAUAUUUGAAAUGUAUGCAUUUGCAUUAUGAAAUGCAAAAUAAAAAAGGCCAGUCCAUUCCUUCAUUAUUCAAAUCUUUUACUGUAUUUCAAGGAUGUGGGAGUUUUAGCAACAACCCUGAACAGGAUGAACAAAAAACGAUUAGAUCACAGCAUGAAAAACUUGAGUUUCUCUUACCAUAUUAUUUAAUGUUCUAAUAGAGUUAGCAAUAUAACAGUUAUAAUUACUACAAAAAAGCUUCUUCAUUUGACAUUCAUCGGCCCUCAAUAGACUCAGUUGUGUAUAUCGGCGGCAAAUCCCCAGAGCUUGGAGAGAUGAUGCAUAAUGUAAAGUUAGUCUGUUUGUUGUAAACCUUCUGCCUCUCAUUUCAGUAAGAUAGCCCAAUCUGAAAAGCCCAAUCUUUGUAAUUAUGUUUCUGCAGUAUCACUCUUGGAUAUUAAAUUAUCAUGGUUUUCACAAAGAACUGCAGAAUGCAGUAUUGCAAUAUUGUGUUGUGUUUGAACAAAUUUUAAUUUUACAUAAUACAGAUAGUUUAUUGAACUGGAUCGCAGUGAUUAGCAGCUGCCUCACAGCUCCAGUGUGAAGGGUUAAGGUGGUUGGUGUACUCACCAUUUGUUUGGUGUCCUCUCAAAGUCCUUGUGGGUUUUCUUUAGGAUAUUCUGUUUUUCUCCCAAAUCCCAGAGACAUGCAAGUUAGAUUAGCUAGCAGCUCAAAAUGGUUAAAAAUGACUGUUAUAGGUUUUUACAUGUGCUUGAGUGUGUCCUCAUAUGUAUGAAAAUAGAUGGAUGGAGGGUCACUUACUUAAUGGAUUUAUUAUGAUUGCUCAAUAUAUUAUAACUAUAAUAUAUCCAUACCAUAUUUUAAUAUUUUUCAAAUGUAUUUAAAUUUACCAUAUUUUCAUGUGUUUAAAUAUGUACU